UGUUAGUCUUUGGUAAAAUCACAAAUUCCAUUUCCUUGAUGACAUCACCCUACAGGAAGUGACAUCGUUUUGGAGGGAACUCAGCAGCACAAACAUCAUCAUGCACUGAACUAAAUUAAUCAAGCACAGUCGGUGAGGAAUCGGUGAACACUGCGAUGCUGGCGUGACGGGGGUCUUCGGGGGUCAGAGGUCACUGAACGCGA